UGGCGGACGGGUGAGUAACGCGUGGAUAACCUGCCGUAUACCGGGGGAUAACACUUAGAAAUAGGUGCUAAUACCGCAUAAGCGCACGGCUCCGCAUGGGGCAGUGUGAAAAACUCCGGUGGUAUACGAUGAAUCCGCGUCUGAUUAGCUAGUUGGCGGGGUAACGGCCCACCAAGGCAGCGAUCAGUAGCCGGCCUGAGAGGGUGGACGGCCACAUUGGGACUGAGACACGGCCCAAACUCCUACGGGAGGCAGCAG
rnacentral:rRNA from 1 species